AUUGAACGCUGGCGGCAGGCCUAACACAUGCAAGUCGAGCGGAUGAGAGGAGCUUGCUUCUCGAUUCAGCGGCGGACGGGUGAGUAAUGCCUAGGAAUCUGCCUGGUAGUGGGGGACAACGUUUCGAAAGGAACGCUAACACCGCAUACGUCCUACGGGAGAAAGCAGGGGACCUUCGGGCCUUGCGCUAUCAGAUGAGCCUAGGUCGGAUUAGCUAGUUGGUGAGGUAAUGGCUCACCAAGGCGACGAUCCGUAACUGGUCUGAGAGGAUGAUCAGUCACACUGGAACGGAGACACGGUCCAGACUCCUACGGGAGGCAGCAGUGGGGAAUAUUGGACAAUGGGCGAAAGCCUGAUCCAGCCAUGCCGCGUGUGUGAAGAAGGUCUUCGGAUUGUAAAGCACUUUAAGUUGGGAGGAAGGGUUGUAGAUUAAUACUCUGCAAUUUUGACGUUACCGACAGAAUAAGCACCGGCUAACUCUGUGCCAGCCGCCGCGGUAACAC
rnacentral:rRNA from 1 species